CGAUUUUGACUUUUACCGUUCAGGAGUUACGGUUCUUGAAAGUUUAAAAAAUGUUGUGUCCGUGCAUUUACUCAUGAACCGUUCAACCAUACCUUUUAAAAUUUUAAUAUGUUGUUACUGACAACAUAACGGAGGUCAAGUUCAAUAAUGACGAUUUUUACUUUUACCGUUCAGGAGUUACGGUUCUUGAAAGUUUAAAAAAUGUCGUGUCCGUGCAUUUACUCAUGAACCAGUCAACCAAACCUUUUAAAAUUUUAAUAUGUUGUUACUGACAACAAAAUGGAGGUCAAGUUCGAAAUCCUAGGUAGAUGGACUUAGUAAUUUUUUCUUACUUUAUGCAUUAAGGGCACACAGUUUGUCCUGCUAGAGGGUCAUUUUCUAUCUAGUUUAUAUGUUGUUAUUGUUGACAACAUGGAAGUCAAGUUUGAUAUUGAUAAUCAUAAAUUUUACCUAUUAGGAGUUUUGGUCCUUGUAAUAUUGAUAAAUGUCAGAACACAAAUAAAUGUUAAAGAAUCCGAUU
rnacentral:lncRNA from 1 species